rnacentral:pre_miRNA from 1 species
GUUGGGAGGAAAGUUGUUUGGCUCUAGGGUUAUGAAGUGUGUGUACUAAUCUCAAUUCUUUCGGUGUAAGUUUCUAAGGUUAGUAAUGAUUCUCGGAUCAGGCUUCAUUCUCCCCAGC